rnacentral:rRNA from 1 species
GAACGGUAACGUGGGGGCAACCCGGGCGGCGAGCGGCGAACGGGUGAGUAAUGCAUCGGAACGCGUCCUCCUGUGGGGGAUAACCAGUCGAAAGACUGGCUAAUACCGCAUGAGCUCGAGAGAGGAAAGCGGGGGAUCCGCGAGGACCUCGCGCGAGAGGAGCGGCCGAUGUCCGAUUAGCUAGUUGGUAGGGUAACGGCCUACCAAGGCGACGAUCCGUAGCUGGUCUGAGAGGACGAUCAGCCACACUGGAACUGAGGCACGGUCCAGACUCCUACGGGAGGCAGCAGUGGGGAAUUUUGGACAAUGGGCGCAAGCCUGAUCCAGCCAUGCCGCGUGAGCGAAGAAGGCCUUCGGGUUGUAAAGCUCUUUCGGCGGGGACGAAACGGUCUGUGCUAAUACCACGGACUAAUGACGGUACCCGCAGAAGAAGCACCGGCUAACUACGUG